rnacentral:rRNA from 1 species
UACGUAGGGUGCGAGCGUUGUCCGGAAUUAUUGGGCGUAAAGAGCUCGUAGGCGGUCUGUCGCGUCGGAUGUGAAAACACGGGGCUCAACCCCGUGCCUGCAUUCGAUACGGGCAGACUAGAGUUCGGUAGGGGAGACUGGAAUUCCUGGUGUAGCGGUGAAAUGCGCAGAUAUCAGGAGGAACACCGGUGGCGAAGGCGGGUCUCUGGGCCGAUACUGACGCUGAGGAGCGAAAGCCAGGGGAGCAAACGGG